GCUAGCAGCAAGUUCUCUGAAACUUUCACAUGGUCACCCACUGAAGCUAAUCAGGGCUGCGCCCGGUCAGUACCUGGAUGGGAGACCACAUGGGAAAGCUAGAUUGCUGCUGGAA
rfam:Danio rerio chromosome 8, GRCz11 reference primary assembly.